rnacentral:tRNA from 1 species
UGCCGGCUUAGCUCAGCAGGCAGAGCAGGUGAUUUGUAAUCACCCGGUCAUCGGUUCGAUUCCGGUAGCCGGCAUC